rnacentral:RNase_P_RNA from 1 species
GGAGCAGAUUAUCCUGUCGCACCGGUUUUUCCGGUGAGGAAAGUCGGGACACUGCAGAGCACCAUACUUCCUAACAGGAAGGUUUCGGGUAACGCCGAAAACAGCCAGUGCCACAGAAAAUAACCGCCCCGCAUGGGGUAAGGGUGAAAAUGUGAGGUAAGAGCUCACGCGGAUGUGUGGUGACAUGCAUCCGGGGUAAACCUUAUGGAGUGAAAGGCCAUGUAUACCGGGGCUCCGCUGAUGCGGAUAAGGGCUGCUCGCCCAAGCCCGGGGGGUAGGCCGUAUGAGGUUGCAGGCGACUGUAAUCCGAGAUAAAUGACAGGACAUGACAGAAUCCCGCUUAUCGAUCUGCUCUGUUU